CCCUAUCAAACUUUACUUUAGUUUAACUGGGGCAGUUAAUUAAUAAAAAUUUUAAUAAAGAUUAAGUACUAAAUAGANNNCCCAACANUAGUUGAUUACANUGAACAAGUUACUGUAGGGAUAACAGCGUAAUAUAUAUCUAAAGUUCUUAUUUUGAUAUAAGUUUGCGACCUCGAUGUUGAAUUNAUAUUACUUUCAAGCGCAAGAGCCUGAAAAGUGGGUCUGUUCGACCCCUAAAUAUAUACAUGAUUUGAGUUCAAAUCGGUGUAAACCAGAUUGGUUUCUAUCUAUUNUUAUUUGUGUCUUAGUACGAAAGGACCUGAAACAAUAUUAUAUAAUNAUUUAUAUGGCAGAAAAAUGCUUUAGAUUUAGGAUCUAAUUAUAAUAGAUUAUUAUACUCUAUUUAACUUGCCUAAUCUCUGUUAUUAGAAUCCUUAUCGCAGUAGCUUUUUAUACCCUCCUAGAGCGAAAAAUUCUAAGCUACAUCCAA
rnacentral:rRNA from 1 species